rnacentral:rRNA from 1 species
AGAGUUUGAUCAUGGCUCAGGAUGAACGCUAGCUACAGGCUUAACACAUGCAAGUCGAGGGGAAACGAUAUUGGAAGCUUGCUUCCGAUAGGCGUCGACCGGCGCACGGGUGAGUAACGCGUAUCCAACCUGCCCACCACUUGGGGAUAACCUUGCGAAAGUAAGACUAAUACCCAAUGAUAUCUCUAGAAGACAUCUGAAAGAGAUUAAAGAUUUAUCGGUGAUGGAUGGGGAUGCGUCUGAUUAGCUUGUUGGCGGGGUAACGGCCCACCAAGGCAACGAUCAGUAGGGGUUCUGAGAGAAAGGUCCCCCACAUUGGAACUGAGACACGGUCCAAACUCCUACGGGAGGCAGCAGUGAGGAAUAUUGGUCAAUGGACGAGAGUCUGAACCAGCCAAGUAGCGUGCAGGAAGACGGCCCUAUGGGUUGUAAACUGCUUUUAUAAGGGAAUAAAGUGAGAGUCGUGACUCUUUUUGCAUGUACCUUAUGAAUAAGGACCGGCUAAUUCCGUGCCAGCAGCCGCGGUAAUACGGAAGGUCCGGGCGUUAUCCGGAUUUAUUGGGUUUAAAGGGAGCGUAGGCCGGAGAUUAAGCGUGUUGUGAAAUGUAGACGCUCAACGUCUGCACUGCAGCGCGAACUGGUUUCCUUGAGUACGCACAAAGUGGGCGGAAUUCGUGGUGUAGCGGUGAAAUGCUUAGAUAUCACGAAGAACUCCGAUUGCGAAGGCAGCUCACUGGAGCGCAACUGACGCUGAAGCUCGAAAGUGCGGGUAUCGAACAGGAUUAGAUACCCUGGUAGUCCGCACGGUAAACGAUGGAUGCCCGCUGUUGGUCUGAAUAGGUCAGCGGCCAAGCGAAAGCAUUAAGCAUCCCACCUGGGGAGUACGCCGGCAACGGUGAAACUCAAAGGAAUUGACGGGGGCCCGCACAAGCGGAGGAACAUGUGGUUUAAUUCGAUGAUACGCGAGGAACCUUACCCGGGCUUGAAUUGCAGAGGAAGGAUUUGGAGACAAUGACGCCCUUCGGGGCCUCUGUGAAGGUGCUGCAUGGUUGUCGUCAGCUCGUGCCGUGAGGCGUCGGCUUAAGUGCCAUAACGAGCGCAACCCCUCUCCUUAGUUGCCAUCAGGUUAAGCUGGGCACUCUGGGGACACUGCCACCGUAAGGUGUGAGGAAGGUGGGGAUGACGUCAAAUCAGCACGGCCCUCACGUCCGGGGCUACACACGUGUUACAAUGGCAGGUACAG